UGCCAGACUCCUACGGGAGGCAGCAGUGAGGAAUAUUGGUCAAUGGGCGAGAGCCUGAACCAGCCAAGUCGCGUGAGGGAGUACUGCCCUAUGGGUUGUAAACCUCUUUUGUCGGGGAGCAAAAGCCGGACGUGUCCGGCUGUGAGAGUACCCGAAGAAAAAGCAUCGGCUAACUCCGUGCCAGCAGCCGCGGUAAUACGUAGGGGGCAAGCGUUAUCCGGAUUCACUGGGUGUAAAGGGAGCGUAGACGGCGACGCAAGUCUGGAGUGAAAGCCCGGGGCCCAACCCCGGGACUGCUCUGGAAACUGCGGCGCUGGAGUACGGGAGGGGCAGGCGGAAUUCCUGGUGUAGCGGUGAAAUGCGUAGAUAUCAGGAGGAACACCGGCGGCGAAGGCGGCCUGCUGGACCGUGACUGACGUUGAGGCUCGAGAGCGUGGGGAGCAAACAGGAUUAGAUACCCCUGUA
rnacentral:rRNA from 1 species